CCCACACGCAAGAGUGACAGUGACAAAGGCAAAGAAAAUGGUGGGCGCUGGACCUGGCUGACAGCAGAGACAUGCCUGCAGCGGAGAGGUUCGGAGGCUAGCCGCAGUGCCCCUAGAGCCUCUCGUGACCGUCUUCGCAAGCGCCUUGUCUACCACCAAAAACAGCAGCUGGUGAAUCUCGAGACAGCUACCAAGUCCCUGGGAGAAGUCACGGCUGGGCAAGUUCUAGCAGGACUAAGUGGCGAAAUUUACCAGAAGCUGGACACUAUCCGGAGAUCCAUUGUAAGAAGAUACUCUCGCACGACUUCUGCCUCGUCGAGUGGAGGAGGAGGGGCGCGCAAGGACGAUGGGGC
rnacentral:lncRNA from 1 species